CAAGGAUAUAGAAGUGAUCAAAUGGAGGUAAACAAGCUAGAGAGUCAACCAAACAUAAACUAGUAGGAAGGAAUCAAUUGCAUAAAUUUAGAGGAGGAAACAGAAAGAGUUUGCUGCUAUGCUACAGUUUUGGACAUAAUUAAAAGAGGGAUCUUACUUGAUGCUUUGGUGGCUUCUAUGGUGGUUGUUCACGUUGGUUUAAGCUUGAGAAAGUGGCUCACAAGCAAACACUCAUUUCUAAUGGUUUAACGUAUAAAAUGGAGGGUUUAAACCUAUUGAAAAGGGAUUCAGAUAAUUUGAGGACAAGUACAUAAAGAUGGAGAGGAAGGAGGGUGUCUUCCACCUUUACCAGAAUAUAUCGAGACUGCUAGGACUCGGCGGAAGUCUUUUCUAUUAUAACGGACUAAAAGAUUCAAAACUCUAAUCCUCUCAAAAGGAGCUCCCAAUUGGAUUUUAUGGUGAUGAAAGUGGACUGAUUGGUUUUGCUUUGAUAUUUUCUCUAGGUGUAUACAGUCACUCAUGAUCAAGUCAUCAAACAUUGAGUAACACUUAUAAAUAAUAUCAUUUUAUUGUUUUCUCGAAA